CCUACGGGAGGCAGCAGUAGGGAAUCUUCCACAAUGGGCGAAAGCCUGAUGGAGCAACGCCGCGUGGGUGAAGAAGGUCUUCGGAUCGUAAAACCCUGUUGUUAGAGAAGAAAGUGCGUGAGAGUAACUGUUCACGUUUCGACGGUAUCUAACCAGACAGCCACGGCUAACUACGUGCCAGCAGCCGCGGUAAUACGUAGGUGGCAAGCGUUAUCCGGAUUUAUUGGGCGUAAAGGGAACGCAGGCGGUCUUUUAAGUCUGAUGUGAAAGCCUUCGGCUUAACCGGAGUAGUGCAUUGGAAACUGGGAGACGUGAGUGCAGAAGAGGAGAGUUGAACUCCAUGUGUAGCGGUGAAAUGCGUAGAUAUAUGGAGGAACACCAGUGGCGAAAGCGGCUCUCUGGUCUGUAACUGACGCUGAGGUUCGAAAGCGUGGGUAGCAAACAGGAUUAGAUACCCUUGUAGUC
rnacentral:rRNA from 1 species